rnacentral:rRNA from 1 species
GACGAACCGUGCGAACGUUAUUCGGAAUCACUGGGCUUAAAGCGCGUGUAGGCGGGCCGGCACGUCCGCGGCUGAAAUCCCCCGGCUCAACCGGGGAAGGGGCCCGGAUACGACCGGCCUGGAGGGGGGUAGGGGGCGCCGGAACUCACGGUGGAGCGGUGAAAUGCGUUGAGAUCGUGAGGAACGCCCGUGGCGAAAGCGGGCGCCUGGACCCCGCCUGACGCUGAGGAGCGAAAGCCAGGGGAGCAAACGGG